AAUACCACUAAGAAACUUAGUGGAUAUUUUUUAUUAAUAAAAGCAAAGUACAAUAAAAACAAAGUUCCGACAAAACCAAAUGAAAGAAGCAAACAAUAUAAAGAAAAGGGAUCUGGGUUUCCUAAAUAAACCCAAGAAUCUCGGUCAAAGAAAGCAUCUCAGAUGCAACUUAGCUGCACUCCGCCUCUAGAAUGAAAGAUCUGCACACUUGGAGAGUUUUUUUUUUUUUUUUGAUGUUCAUCUUCAAUUGACUUGGCUUUUCCUCUCUAUCUGAAGAAAUCCUCGACCUCUUCAUCUUCUUCAUCAAGCUGAUGUAACCUAUAUUUUGGUGACAUUACAUUGGGUAGUACCUUGUCCUCCUCAAUGUUAAGUGAUUCCAUUCCACCAGGUACAUUCCCUUCCUCAAUUACUUCUUUGUUCUCUCCUAAUAAUCUUGCAUUAGCUGCACUUGUACCAAUACCCAGCUCAGCCCCUUUAGAACUGUUACUCUCAAUCUGAAAUUCUGCUCCCUCCUUAAUAUAGGUAUGAUUUUCCUCCUGUAAAGAAUGGCUGUUUUCAGCAUCAAUUUUCAGUUCUGCUGGAACCAGAACUUUCUCCUCCGUUUGCUCAUUUUUUCCAGCAAAUUGCGCCAAUUCUGUAUCAAGGUAUUAUUGUCCUCAACUCUUCCAAGUCUGGCCAUCCAUAGGAAAAUUUUCCUAUAACUGCAUAUUGAAGGUUCUCUAUUUCAUUCAUACGUGCAACUUCAGCCUCAGUCCAUUUUACAACAGGUUUUCCAUUGACAAAAGUGAUUGGUUUUAUAGGUAUUGGAUCAACAACAUUCUUCAAGGAUUGGUUCAAAAAAUAAGGGUUCAAAGCCUGUGCAUACUUCAAAGUGGGAAUAACAGAUGUUGUAGGGUUAGGGCUAGGAUUGGGGUUAGGAUUAGGAAGAAUGAUUUUGUUUAGAGGAUUAGGGUUUAAAGGUGGGAAUUGAUUUAGAGAGGGUGUAACUAUCAUAUUAGAAGUGGAGGGAGGCUGGCCAGCCACCAAGGACUGGUCGGCAGCCACAGUGACCAUGGCGGCAGGAUCACUCAACUACGUUUAGCAU